AUCAGGAGGUUAGUGCAAUGGCAUAAGCCAGCUUGACUGCGAGCGUGACGGCGCGAGCAGGUGCGAAAGCAGGUCAUAGUGAUCCGGUGGUUCUGAAUGGAAGGGCCAUCGCUCAACGGAUAAAAGGUACUCCGGGGAUAACAGGCUGAUACCGCCCAAGAGUUCAUAUCGACGGCGGUGUUUGGCACCUCGAUGUCGGCUCAUCACAUCCUGGGGCUGAAGUAGGUCCCAAGGGUAUGGCUGUUCGCCAUUUAAAGUGGUACGCGAGCUGGGUUUAGAACGUCGUGAGACAGUUCGGUCCCUAUCUGCCGUGGGCGCUGGAGAACUGAGGGGGGCUGCUCCUAGUACGAGAGGACCGGAGUGGACGCAUCACUGGUGUUCGGGUUGUCAUGCCAAUGGCACUGCCCGGUAGCUAAAUGCGGAAGAGAUAAGUGCUGAAAGCAUCUAAGCACGAAACUUGCCCCGA
rnacentral:rRNA from 2 species